CCUACGGGUGGCAGCAGUGGGGAAUAUUGCACAAUGGGGGAAACCCUGAUGCAGCGACGCCGCGUGAGUGAAGAAGUAAUUCGUUAUGUAAAGCUCUAUCAGCAGGGAAGAAAAUGACGGUACCUGAGUAAGAAGCCCCGGCUAACUACGUGCCAGCAGCCGCGGUAAUACGUAGGGGGCAAGCGUUAUCCGGAUUUACUGGGUGUAAAGGGAGCGUAGACGGCAGUGCAAGUCUGGCGUGAAAGGCGGGGGCUCAACCCCCGGACUGCUCUGGAAACUGUACGGCUGGAGUGCAGGAGAGGUAAGUGGAAUUCCUAGGGUAGCGGUGAAAUGCGUAGAUAUUAGGAGGAACAUCGGUGGCGUAAGCGCUUUACUGGGCCGUAAUUGACACUGAGGAACGAAAGCCGGGGUAGCAAAUGGGAUUAGAUACCCCUGUAGUC
rnacentral:rRNA from 1 species